GUGAAAUUAAGCUUUUCCAAAAGUAAGAUACUGCCUGUAGAACAGAAAUACUCAUUUGCAGAGCAGCCUACAAUCUUUCUGGAAAUAAUAUACAGUUACACUCUGCAAAUGAGAUGUAUUAUCAUUAUGUUGAUGAGAAGAUCAAAUAUUUCUUUUUCUUCCAUAGUCAAAAUAUUGUUAAUGGAUGAUUUUCUGCCUGGAAGGACAUUUUAUUGAAAUUAUGUGCUGGGCCCACCACUCGUUGACUGAAUAAGAUGAAAACAAAUGAAAAAAGCAACCUGUAUGAGACAACUUCAACGGGAAAAAACCAGAAUCAGAAAUUGAAUUGUUCCACAGCAGAAGAAAUCAGCAGCUGGGGAUAAAGAAGAUAGCUGAGGAGAUAUGGCCAAGGAGAGUGAAGUUCAUUUUAGGUCACUGGAGGACUUCCAAAGACAUCUUCCUUUUCUGUAUUAUAAACCCUAAGAGUUAA